rnacentral:misc_RNA from 1 species
CCAAUAGCGUAUAUUAAAGUUGUUGCAGUUAAAAAGCUCGUAGUUGAAUUUCGGGAUCAAGUCGUCGGUCGUGCCUCGGUACGCACUGGUGACAUUGGUUUCUCCCUUCUGAAGAACCUUGAUGUCAUUAAUUUGGUGUCUUGGGGAAUCAGGACUGUUACUUUGAAAAAAUUAGAGUGUUUAAAGCAGGCUCACGCUUGAAUACAUUAGCCUGGAAUAAUGAAAUAGGACGUUUGAUUCUAUUUUGUUGGUUUCUAGGAUCGACGUAAUGAUUAAUAGGGAUAGUUGGGGGCAUUAGUAUUCAAUUGUCAGAGGUGAAAUUCUUGGAUUUAUUGAAGACUAACUACUGCGAAAGCAGUUGCCAAGGAUGUUUUCAUUAAUCAAGAACGAAAGUUAGGGGAUCGAAGACGAUCAGAUACCGUCGUAGUCUUAACCAUAAACUAUGCCGACUAGGGAUCGGAUGAUGUUAAUUUUUUAAUGACUCAUUCGGCGCCUUACG